AAAGCUCGUAGUUGGAUUUCUGUUGAGGACGGCCGGUCCGCACUAUGUGCGUGUAUCUGGUUCGGCCUUGGCAUCCUCUUGAGGAACGUUCCUGCGCUUGAUUGCGUGGGGCGGUAUUCAAGACUUUUACUUUGAGGAAAUUAGAGUGUUCACGGCAGGCAAGCGCCUUGAAUACAUUAGCAUGGAAUAAUAAUAUAGGAUCUUGGUUCUAUUUGUUGGUUUCUAGGGCUAAGGUAAUGAUUAAUAGGGAUAAUUGGGGGCAUUUGUAUUAACGCGUCAGAGGUGGAAUUCUUGGAUUGCGUUACGACAAACUACUGCGAAAGCAUUUGCCAAGGAUGUUUUCAUUGAUCAAGAACGAAAGUAUGGGGAUCGAAGAUGAUUAGAUACCGUCGUAGUCUAUACCAUAAACUAUGCCGACUAGGGAUUGGAGGUCGUUCUUUUUAUGACUCCUUCAGCACCUUAUGAGAAAUCAAAGUCUUUGGGUUCCGGGGGGAGUAUAGUCGCAAGGCUGAAACUUAAAGGAAUUGACGGAAGG
rnacentral:rRNA from 1 species